GGGUUGUGAGGUUAAGCGACUAAGCGUACACGGUGGAUGCCCUGGCAGUCAGAGGCGAUGAAGGACGUGCUAAUCUGCGAAAAGCGUCGGUAAGGUGAUAUGAACCGUUAUAGCCGGCGAUGUCCGAAUGGGGAAACCCAGUGCAAUUCGUUGCACUAUCGUUAACUGAAUACAUAGGUUAACGAGGCGAACCGGGGGAACUGAAACAUCUAAGUACCCCGAGGAAAAGAAAUCAACCGAGAUUCCCCCAGUAGCGGCGAGCGAACGGGGAGCAGCCCAGAGUCUGAAUCAGCUUGUGUGUUAGUGGAACGGUCUGGAAAGUCCGACGGUACAGGGUGAUAGUCCCGUACACCAAAAUGCACAGGUUGUGAACUCGAAGAGUAGGGCGGGACACGUGGUAUCCUGUCUGAAUAUGGGGGGACCAUCCUCCAAGGCUAAAUACUCCUGACUGACCGAUAGUGAACCAGUACCGUGAGGGAAAGGCGAAAAGAACCCCGGCGAGGGGAGUGAAAAAGAACCUGAAACCGUGUACGUACAAGCAGUGGGAGCACCUUCGGGUGUGACUGCGUACCUUUUGUAUAAUGGGUCAGCGACUUAUAUUCUGUAGCAAGGUUAACCGUAUAGGGGAGCCGCAGGGAAACCGAGUCUUAACUGGGCGUUAAGUUGCAGGGUAUAGACCCGAAACCCGGUGAUCUAGCCAUGGGCAGGUUGAAGGUUGGGUAACACUAACUGGAGGACCGAACCGACUAAUGUUGAAAAAUUAGCGGAUGACUUGUGGCUGGGGGUGAAAGGCCAAUCAAACCGGGAGAUAGCUGGUUCUCCCCGAAAGCUAUUUAGGUAGCGCCUCGUGAACUCAUCUUCGGGGGUAGAGCACUGUUUCGGCUAGGGGGUCAUCCCGACUUACCAACCCGAUGCAAACUACGAAUACCGAAGAAUGUUAUCACGGGAGACACACGGCGGGUGCUAACGUCCGUCGUGAAGAGGGAAACAACCCAGACCGCCAGCUAAGGUCCCAAAGUCAUGGUUAAGUGGGAAACGAUGUGGGAAGGCACAGACAGCCAGGAUGUUGGCUUAGAAGCAGCCAUCAUUUAAAGAAAGCGUAAUAGCUCACUGGUCGAGUCGGCCUGCGCGGAAGAUGUAACGGGGCUAAACCAUGCACCGAAGCUGCGGCAGCGACACUAUGUGUUGUUGGGUAGGGGAGCGUUCUGUAAGCCUGCGAAGGUGACCUGUGAGGGUUGCUGGAGGUAUCAGAAGUGCGAAUGCUGACAUAAGUAACGAUAAAGCGGGUGAAAAGCCCGCUCGCCGGAAGACCAAGGGUUCCUGUCCAACGUUAAUCGGGGCAGGGUGAGUCGACCCCUAAGGCGAGGCCGAAAGGCGUAGUCGAUGGGAAACAGGUUAAUAUUCCUGUACUUGGUGUUACUGCGAAGGGGGGACGGAGAAGGCUAUGUUAGCCGGGCGACGGUUGUCCCGGUUUAAGCAUGUAGGCUGAUUGUCCAGGCAAAUCCGGAUAAUCAAGGCUGAGGUGUGAUGACGAGGCACUACGGUGCUGAAGUAACAAAUGCCCUGCUUCCAGGAAAAGCCUCUAAGCAUCAGGUAACAUCAAAUCGUACCCCAAACCGACACAGGUGGUCAGGUAGAGAAUACCAAGGCGCUUGAGAGAACUCGGGUGAAGGAACUAGGCAAAAUGGUGCCGUAACUUCGGGAGAAGGCACGCUGGUGUGUAGGUGAAGUCCCUGCGGAUGGAGCUGAGACCAGUCGAAGAUACCAGCUGGCUGCAACUGUUUAUUAAAAACACAGCACUGUGCAAACACGAAAGUGGACGUAUACGGUGUGACGCCUGCCCGGUGCCGGAAGGUUAAUUGAUGGGGUUAUCCGUAAGGAGAAGCUCUUGAUCGAAGCCCCGGUAAACGGCGGCCGUAACUAUAACGGUCCUAAGGUAGCGAAAUUCCUUGUCGGGUAAGUUCCGACCUGCACGAAUGGCGUAAUGAUGGCCAGGCUGUCUCCACCCGAGACUCAGUGAAAUUGAACUCGCUGUGAAGAUGCAGUGUACCCGCGGCAAGACGGAAAGACCCCGUGAACCUUUACUAUAGCUUGACACUGAACAUUGAGCCUUGAUGUGUAGGAUAGGUGGGAGGCUUUGAAGCGUGGACGCCAGUCUGCGUGGAGCCAACCUUGAAAUACCACCCUUUAAUGUUUGAUGUUCUAACGUUGGCCCCUUACCGGGGUUGCGGACAGUGUCUGGUGGGUAGUUUGGCUGGGGCGGUCUCCUCCCAAAGCGUAACGGAGGAGCACGAAGGUUAGCUAAUCCUGGUCGGACAUCAGGAGGUUAGUGCAAUGGCAUAAGCUAGCUUGACUGCGAGCGUGACGGCGCGAGCAGGUGCGAAAGCAGGUCAUAGUGAUCCGGUGGUUCUGAAUGGAAGGGCCAUCGCUCAACGGAUAAAAGGUACUCCGGGGAUAACAGGCUGAUACCGCCCAAGAGUUCAUAUCGACGGCGGUGUUUGGCACCUCGAUGUCGGCUCAUCACAUCCUGGGGCUGAAGUAGGUCCCAAGGGUAUGGCUGUUCGCCAUUUAAAGUGGUACGCGAGCUGGGUUUAGAACGUCGUGAGACAGUUCGGUCCCUAUCUGCCGUGGGCGCUGGAGAAUUGAGGGGGGCUGCUCCUAGUACGAGAGGACCGGAGUGGACGCAUCACUGGUGUUCGGGUUGUCAUGCCAAUGGCACUGCCCGGUAGCUAAAUGCGGAAGAGAUAAGUGCUGAAAGCAUCUAAGCACGAAACUUGCCCCGAGAUGAGUUCUCCCUGAGACUUUAAGUCUCCUGAAGGAACGUUGAAGACGACGACGUUGAUAGGCCGGGUGUGUAAGCGCAGCGAUGCGUUGAGCUAACCGGUACUAAUGAACCGUGAGGCUUAACCUUACAACGCCGAAG
rnacentral:rRNA from 1 species